rnacentral:lncRNA from 1 species
GGUAAACAAAUGGAAAAAAACCAAAAUACUUCAGUAUGACUGAAAUGGGAAUGUUGGGCUGAAAUCAACAAGAGGAAACUUAAGAAAUAAUUGUUUAACCCUGAAUUUAAUUUUAAAGAUAUCACAAGAUAGAGAAGGCCUGAGUUAGAAGUGGCUUAUAUAAAAAGAUAAUAGCACUUUUUUUAAGUCAACAAUUUCAUGUGGCUGGUAAAAACAGGAUACAAUCUUCCUACUACCAGAACUACAAUGUCUACAUCAAAGAAUAAAUUGUCUAACCAAUGUUAUAUUGAUUCAGACAUGUCAGGAAUAUUGUAUUCAAAUCGAAAGGAAGCAAUGCCAAAUUAGGAUACCUCCAAAGGAGAGUAAACUAGAUGGGAAAGAUGGGCAGAGCUACAUGCUUCAGGAUCUAGUGGAUCCAGGGUCUUCCAUGGUAAUUGGACUAUUUUACUCCUUGAUGCUUUGCUUGUUCUGUUCCCUGGGUCCUAUUGCAACUUCUAUCUGCAUGUUGACAUUUGUCCUUCAGAUUGCUUCCCUCAGCUGAGGAUAUGGUCACUGGCAGUCAUGGUGGUCACAUUCUUGCUUUUUUGAAAUUCAGUGCAGAAGAGAAAGCCUCUCCCUGUCCUGUUUAAUACCAACUCAGGAUAGCAGAUUCCGAGUGGCCUGGCUUGAAUUAACGUGCCAUAUCUUGGAUCAAAACCUGCACCUAAAGGAGAUACAGCAUUGUAAUUUCCUGGCCAAGGUCAGAUAGGCACCUAUGUGGUCAGGGGAGCAGAGUUUCUAAUUGGAAGAAGGAAAGAAGCUGAACUACAAAGACAAAACUGUGGAAAUCACACAGGUUAAAUAGUGGUUCAAGGUAUUCUAAUUCUUGGUCCAGUCAUUUUUUUCCACCAUGCUAUGAUGUUGUAUACUGUUUUUGUUCUCUAGAAUGUUUUCUCUUGGAAAUAAUUCUUUUCAGAAGUACACAAAGGUCCCUUUUUUUAAAGUUUAAUUUUGAAAUGUUUAUAGGUUUUCAGGAAAUUGCCAAAAUAGUACAUUGAAGUCCCAUUAUUUUCACUCAGCCUCUCAAUGUUACGUCUUAGAUAACUACAGUACAAUAGCAAAACCAAGACAGUGACAUUGGUAUAGUCCAAAUAGCUUAUUCAGGUUUCACCAAUUAUGGGGGUAUAGCUCAGGGGCAGAGCAUUUGUGUGCACAUUUCAUCAAUUUAUAUGCACUUAUUUGUGAGUGUGUGUGUGUGUGUGUGUGUAGUUUUAUGCAAUUUUAUAUAGAUUCAUGUAAUCACUGCAGUCAAGAAACAGAACUGUUCCAUCAACACAAAGAUUUCCCUUGUUGAGUUUACCAUUUAUUUUCACAUCCACACUACUCUCCCAUAUCACUAACUCUUGGAAACUACUAAUAUCUCACCAUCUCUAGACUUUGGUCAUUUAAAGAAUAGUAUGUAAAUAGAAAUAUAUAUUAUUUGCCCCUUUGAAAUUGACUAUUUGCACUCAGCACAUCUUGGAGGCCGAUCCAAGUUGGUAUGUGUAUCAGUAGUCUGUUGUAUUUUUAUGACUCAGCAGUAUUCCAUGGUAUGGAUGUACCACAUUUUGUUUAACCAUUCACUUGCUAAAAGACAUCUGGCCUUUGUUUCCAGUUUCUCUGUGUUACAAUCUGCUAAAACACUUUUUGUAUUUCUUUUUAUGUAGACAUGAGAUUCCAUUUCUCAGGGUAAGUGACCAAGACUGUAAUUACUGGAUCAUAUGGUAAACACCUCUUUAGUUUUGUGAGACUGCUAAACUCUUUUCCAGAGUGGCUGUACCUUUGUAUAUCCUCAACAGCCAUGUAUAAGUGAUCUAGUUUCUUCACAAUAUUGCCAGCAUUUGGUGUUGUCACUAUUUUUUUAUUUUAGCCAUUCUAAAGGUGUACAGUGAUAUCUCAUUGUGGUUUUGAUUUAAUUUCCCUAAAAAUUUUGAAUAUCUUUUCAUGUACUUCUUUGCUGUCUGUAUAUCCCCUACAGUGAAAUGUCUGUUCCAGCCUUUAGCCAUCUUCUACAUGGAAUUUUUUCUGUUGAGUUUUCAGAGGUCUUUAUAUAUACUAGGAUAUUUAUAUACUUAUGCCAGG